rnacentral:snRNA from 1 species
GGAUAUGAGGGCAAUCUGGCUGUGACAUCUGUCACCCCAUUGAUCGCCAGGGUCAAUUUGGCUGAUCUGGCUGGCUAGGCAGGUAUCCCUAUGCUCCCUUACAGCUCUACGUACAUCCCUCCCUAAGCUGCAUACUCAGUGGAAGAGGAUGACCUUCCCAGAUAGAGGAGGACCUUUCUUUGUUAAAGGGUAUAUAAGUAAUUAGGCUUCCCUGCUGGAACCCCCAAAUAGGCUCUCAAAAUUAUUUCUUAUAGUUCUGCAGUUUAGGAAGUCCAAGAUAAAGGGGUGACACCUGGUGAGAGCAUUAUUU